rnacentral:rRNA from 1 species
UACGGAGGGGGCCAGCGUUGUUCGGAAUCAUUGGGCGUAAAGGGCGCGUAGGCGGCUUUGUAAGUCCGUUGUGAAAUCCCUCGGCUCAACCGAGGAACUGCGACGGAUACUGCUUGGCUUGAGUCCCGGAGAGGGUAGCGGAAUUCCCAGUGUAGCGGUGAAAUGCGUAGAUAUUGGGAGGAACAUCGGUGGCGAAGGCGGCUACCUGGACGGGUACUGACGCUGAUGCGCGAAAGCGUGGGGAGCGAACAGG